UAGUCCACGCCGUAAACGAUGGAUGCUCGAUGCUGCACCGCUUUUAGGUGCAGUGUCUAAGCUAACGCGUUAAGCAUCCCACCUGGGGAGUACGACCGCAAGGUUGAAACUCAAAGGAAUUGACGGGGGCCCGCACAAGCGGUGGAGCAUGUGGCUUAAUUCGAUGCAACGCGAGGAACCUUACCCAGGCUCGAACGCUGGGGGACAGGCCCUGAAAGGGGCCCUUCUUCGGACUCUCAGUGAGGUGCUGCAUGGCUGUCGUCAGUUCGUGUCGUGAGAUGUUGGGUUAAGUCCCGCAACGAACGCAACCCCUAUCGCUAGUUACCAGCGGGUAAUGCCGGGGACUCUAGCGAGACUGCCUGCGCAAGCAGUGAGGAAGGUGGGGAUGACGUCAAGUCAGCAUGGCCCUUAGCCUGGGGGCUGCACACGUGCUACAAUGGACGAUACAGAGGGGCUGCUACCCGGGUGA
rnacentral:rRNA from 1 species